UUGAAAGAGUUAGUAGAAUGAAAUUCAAAACAGUGUGGCUGUGGCCAUUGAUUGACACAUUAAAUUCAUCCAUUGACUGGGACAAUUUAUGUAAACGUUUGUCUGUAUCGACCACUGUUCACGACGUACCUACGAUAGACAUUUAAACUGUGGGGUCACCAAAGGUUUCUUAACGCCUUUAAUUAUAAAAUAAUUCGAAAAAUUAAUCAGGAAUAACCUUUAUGUUUUGAUAUAUAUAAUUGAUAUAAAUCAAAACAUCGUGUUAUUUCUGAUUAAUUUUUCGAAUUACUUUAUUAAGGUGUUGAAAACCUUUGGUGACCCCAUAGUUUAAGUGUCUUUAAAAAGUACAUAGUAAGCAGUGGUCGUUGCAUAC
rnacentral:lncRNA from 1 species